rnacentral:rRNA from 1 species
AGCAUAUCAGAAGGCACACCCGGAGAACUGAAACAUCUUAGUACCCGGAGGAAGAGAAAGAAAAUUCGAUUCCCUUAGUAGCGGCGAGCGAAACGAGAAGAGCCCAAACCAAAAAGCUUGCUUGUUGGGGUUGUAGGACACUCUAUACGGAGUUACAAAGGACGACAUUAGACGAAUCAUCUGGAAAGAUGAAUCAAAGAAGGUAAUAAUCCUGUAGUCGAAAAUGUUGUCUCUCUUGAGUGGAUCCUGAGUACGACGGAGCACGUGAAAUUCCGUCGGAAUCUGGGAGGACCAUCUCCUAAGGCUAAAUACUCUCUAGUGACCGAUAGUGAACCAGUACCGUGAGGGAAAGGUGAAAAGCACCCCGGAAGGGGAGUGAAAUAGAACCUGAAACCGUGUGCUUACAAGUAGUCAGAGCCCGUUAAUGGGUGAUGGCGUGCCUUUUGUAGAAUGAACCGGCGAGUUACGAUUUGAUGCAAGGUUAAGCAGUAAAUGUGGAGCCGUAGCGAAAGCGAGUCUGAAUAGGGCGUUUAGUAUUUGGUCGUAGACCCGAAACCAGGUGAUCUACCCUUGGUCAGGUUGAAGUUCAGGUAACACUGAAUGGAGGACCGAACCGACUUACGUUGAAAAGUGAGCGGAUGAACUGAGGGUAGCGGAGAAAUUCCAAUCGAACCUGGAGAUAGCUGGUUCUCUCCGAAAUAGCUUUAGGGCUAGCCUCAAGUGAUGAUUAUUGGAGGUAGAGCACUGUUUGGACGAGGGGCCCCUCUCGGGUUACCGAAUUCAGACAAACUCCGAAUGCCAAUUAAUUUAACUUGGGAGUCAGAACAUGGGUGAUAAGGUCCGUGUUCGAAAGGGAAACAGCCCAGACCACCAGCUAAGGUCCCAAAAUAUAUGUUAAGUGGAAAAGGAUGUGGCGUUGCCCAGACAACUAGGAUGUUGGCUUAGAAGCAGCCAUCAUUUAAAGAGUGCGUAAUAGCUCACUAGUCGAGUGACACUGCGCCGAAAAUGUACCGGGGCUAAACAUAUUACCGAAGCUGUGGAUUGUCCUUUGGACAAUGGUAGGAGAGCGUUCUAAGGGCGUUGAAGCAUGAUCGUAAGGACAUGUGGAGCGCUUAGAAGUGAGAAUGCCGGUGUGAGUAGCGAAAGACGGGUGAGAAUCCCGUCCACCGAUUGACUAAGGUUUCCAGAGGAAGGCUCGUCCGCUCUGGGUUAGUCGGGUCCUAAGCUGAGGCCGACAGGCGUAGGCGAUGGAUAACAGGUUGAUAUUCCUGUACCACCUAUAAUCGUUUUAAUCGAUGGGGGGACGCAGUAGGAUAGGCGAAGCGUGCGAUUGGAUUGCACGUCUAAGCAGUAAGGCUGAGUAUUAGGCAAAUCCGGUACUCGUUAAGGCUGAGCUGUGAUGGGGAGAAGACAUUGAGUCUUCGAGUCGUUGAUUUCACACUGCCGAGAAAAGCCUCUAGAUAGAAAAUAGGUGCCCGUACCGCAAACCGACACAGGUAGUCAAGAUGAGAAUUCUAAGGUGAGCGAGCGAACUCUCGUUAAGGAACUCGGCAAAAUGACCCCGUAACUUCGGGAGAAGGGGUGCUCUUUAGGGUUAACGCCCAGAAGAGCCGCAGUGAAUAGGCCCAAGCGACUGUUUAUCAAAAACACAGGUCUCUGCUAAACCGUAAGGUGAUGUAUAGGGGCUGACGCCUGCCCGGUGCUGGAAGGUUAAGAGGAGUGGUUAGCUUCUGCGAAGCUACGAAUCGAAGCCCCAGUAAACGGCGGCCGUAACUAUAACGGUCCUAAGGUAGCGAAAUUCCUUGUCGGGUAAGUUCCGACCCGCACGAAAGGCGUAACGAUUUGGGCACUGUCUCAACGAGAGACUCGGUGAAAUCAUAGUACCUGUGAAGAUGCAGGUUACCCGCGACAGGACGGAAAGACCCCGUGGAGCUUUACUGUAGCCUGAUAUUGAAAUUCGGCACAGCUUGUACAGGAUAGGUAGGAGCCUUUGAAACGUGAGCGCUAGCUUACGUGGAGGCGCUGGUGGGAUACUACCCUAGCUGUGUUGGCUUUCUAACCCGCACCACUUAUCGUGGUGGGAGACAGUGUCAAGCGGGCAGUUUGACUGGGGCGGUCGCCUCCUAAAAGGUAACGGAGGCGCUCAAAGGUUCCCUCAGAAUGGUUGGAAAUCAUUCAUAGAGUGUAAAGGCAUAAGGGAGCUUGACUGCGAGACCUACAAGUCGAGCAGGGUCGAAAGACGGACUUAGUGAUCCGGUGGUUCCGCAUGGAAGGGCCAUCGCUCAACGGAUAAAAGCUACCCCGGGGAUAACAGGCUUAUCUCCCCCAAGAGUUCACAUCGACGGGGAGGUUUGGCACCUCGAUGUCGGCUCAUCGCAUCCUGGGGCUGUAGUCGGUCCCAAGGGUUGGGCUGUUCGCCCAUUAAAGCGGUACGCGAGCUGGGUUCAGAACGUCGUGAGACAGUUCGGUCCCUAUCCGUCGUGGGCGUAGGAAAUUUGAGAGGAGCUGUCCUUAGUACGAGAGGACCGGGAUGGACAUACCUCUGGUGUACCAGUUGUCGUGCCAACGGCAUAGCUGGGUAGCUAUGUGUGGACGGGAUAAGUGCUGAAAGCAUCUAAGCAUGAAGCCCCCCUCAAGAUGAGAUUUCCCAACUUCGGUUAUAAGAUCCCUCAAAGAUGAUGAGGUUAAUAGGUUCGAGGUGGAAGCAUGGUGACAUGUGGAGCUGACGAAUACUAAUCGAUCGAAGACUUAAUCAA